rnacentral:other from 1 species
CGGGUACUGCUCCGUGCGUCAGGUAUGCGAUGCCCAGGGGCCUUAAUGGUACUCACCGGGAGCUGUCCCUGCCCAGGAUCGUGGUCUUGGGCAUAUGGCGCCCACCUGCACUUGCAGGCCCGUGAGGAUCCAAAUUCCAACGGCGGCUGCGGUCCCGGU